UCUACUUAUCUGACUGCAGAGAGGAUGACAGAGAACAGUGGACACACAGUUUAACAUGAUGGACUAUAGGACAGGACUGCUGCUGUUAACUAUCUGCUGGGCAGGUGUUGAUGGUCAGACUCUGACAGAAUCUGAACCAGUGGUUAAAAGGCCUGGAGAAUCUCACAGAUUGACCUGUACAGCCUCUGGAUUUAACUUUGCUGGCUACUGGAUGGCCUGGAUCAGACAGGCUCCUGGAAAAGGACUAGAGUGGAUUGCUUAUAUCAACAGUGGCAGUGGUAGCAGCAAAUACUACUCUCAGUCAGUUCAAGGCCGGUUUACCAUCUCCAGAGAAAACAGCAGACAGCAGCUGUAUCUGCAGAUGAACAGUCUGAAGACUGAAGAUUCUGCUGUUUAUUAUUGUGCUCGAGACUCACAGUGACACAGGAA